AGUGAACGCUGGCGGUAGGCCUAACACAUGCAAGUCGAACGGCAGCACAGUAAGAGCUUGCUCUUACGGGUGGCGAGUGGCGGACGGGUGAGGAAUACAUCGGAAUCUACUUUUUCGUGGGGGAUAACGUAGUGAAACUUACGCUAAUACCGCAUACGACCUACGGGUGAAAGCAGGGGAUCUUCGGACCUUGCGCGAUUGAAUGAGCCGAUGUCGGAUUAGCUAGUUGGCGGGGUAAAGGCCCACCAAGGCGACGAUCCGUAGCUGGCCUGAGAGGAUGAUCAGCCACACUGGAACUGAGACACGGUCCAGACUCCUACGGGAGGCAGCAGUGGGGAAUAUUGGACAAUGGGCGCAAGCCUGAUCCAGCCAUACCGCGUGGGUGAAGAAGGCCUUCGGGUUGUAAAGCCCUUUUGUUGGGAAAGAAAAGCAGCAGGUUAAUACCCCGCUGUUCUGACGGUACCCAAAGAAUAAGCACCGGCUAACUUCGUG
rnacentral:rRNA from 1 species